rnacentral:rRNA from 1 species
AACGAACGCUGGCGGCAGGCUUAACACAUGCAGGUCGAACGCCCCGCAAGGGGAGUGGCAGACGGGUGAGUAACACGUGGGAACGUACCCUUUACUACGGAAUAACGCAGGGAAACUUGUGCUAAUACCGUAUGUGCCCUUCGGGGGAAAGAUUUAUCGGUAAAGGAUCGGCCCGCGUUGGAUUAGCUAGUUGGUGGGGUAAAGGCCUACCAAGGCGACGAUCCAUAGCUGGUCUGAGAGGAUGAUCAGCCACAUUGGGACUGAGACACGGCCCAAACUCCUACGGGAGGCAGCAGUGGGGAAUAUUGGACAAUGGGCGCAAGCCUGAUCCAGCCAUGCCGCGUGAGUGAUGAAGGCCUUAGGGUUGUAAAGCUCUUUCACCGGAGAAGAUAAUGACGGUAUCCGGAGAAGAAGCCCCGGCUAACUUCGUGCCAGCAGCCGCGGUAAU